rnacentral:rRNA from 1 species
CCUACGGGAGGCUGCAGUGGGGAAUCUUGCACAAUGGGGGAAACCCUGAUGCAGCGACGCCGCGUGAGUGAAGCAGUAAUUCGUUAUGUAAAGCUCUAUUAGCAGGGAAGAAAAUGACGGUACCUGAGUAAGAAGCCCCGGCUAACUACGUGCCAGCAGCCGCGGUCAUACGUCGGGGGCAAGCGUUAUCCGGAUUUACGGGGGGUAAAGGGAGCGUAGACGGGAGUGCAAGUCUGGAGUGAAAGGCGGGGGCUCAACCCCCGGACUGCACUGGAAACUGUACGGCUGGAGUGCAGGAGAGGUAAGUGGAAUUCCUGGUGUAGCGGUGAAAUGCGUAGAUAUAAGGAGGAACACCAGUGGCGAAGGCGGCUUACUGGACUGUAACUGACGUUGAGGCUCGAAAGCGUGGGUAGCAAACAGGAUUAGAUACCCCUGUAGUC